rnacentral:rRNA from 1 species
AUUGAACGCUGGCGGAAUGCCUUACACAUGCAAGUCGAACGGCAGCACGGGAGCAAUCCUGGUGGCGAGUGGCGAACGGGUGAGUAAUACAUCGGAACGUGCCCAAUCGUGGGGGAUAACGUAGCGAAAGCUACGCUAAUACCGCAUACGAUCUACGGAUGAAAGCGGGGGAUCGCAAGACCUCGCGCGAAUGGAGCGGCCGAUGGCAGAUUAGGUAGUUGGNGGGGUAAAGGCUCACCAAGCCUGCGAUCUGUAGCUGGUCUGAGAGGACGGACCUGCCACACUGGGACUGAGACACGGCCCAGACUCCUACGGGAGGCAGCAGUGGGAAUUUUGGACAAUGGGCGCAAGCCUGAUCCAGCCAUUCCGCGUGCAGGAUGAAGGCC